UUUCACCACCUCUAGACCACCAAAAAGCGUCAAAUCGGUGGCUACGGACUCGUCUUGACCUCCUCUUGGCCCCUACGGUGGUUGCUCACUGCGGCUUGGCCGGAAAACGACGUAUCGGGUCCUUGAAGUUUACUGUAGCAGGUGACCGUUGACCCGAAUUCCGGCCACCUCCGGCGACAAAGCCAGGCUUUUUAGAAGCGUCUUGAGGCGUACUUAAAGCUCCCCAAAUAUCUUGAAACGAUUUGCAGCGUGGAGGAAGAAAGCAUAAUUAGAAAAUUUUACUGUACUUCGGUGUGCUUAAUUGUUCGGCCACUUCAAGGUAUUUUCUGACUUUGUCACAGUUGAGAAAGUUAUUGGAAAUGUUGAGAUGAUGUUGUGGAUGAAAUUUGGUGGCCGGAGGAGGAGUUGGCCGCUGCAUGAACAGUGUUGCAGCAUGAACAGUGCGAUGGUGAAUAGUGCGGGUGAUUGACGGUCUUCCUUGGUGGGCGGUUUGGUGUGUAUUGUGAAAUUGAAGACGCAGCGGGAUUAGAGCGGGUAGUCCUGCAGGUCAGGAGGAUCAUGGUGGAGAUCGUGCGGAUUAGAGUAUUUGUUUUAUGUGCUGUAUUAAAUAACUUGAGGAUUUGGUUUAUUGUUUUAGUGAGAGGUGUGAAGUGUGGUUGUUUGUGAAAAAAAAAUUCAGGACUUUUAUUUGUAAUUGUUAUUAUUCACGUUU
rnacentral:lncRNA from 1 species